GCGGCGCUCCUGUGGGAAGUGUAAUGCUUGUCUCUGCAGGAAGGACUGUGGCACAUGUGACUUCUGUAUCGACAAACCUAAGUUUGGAGGCAGCAACAAGAAGAGACAAAAAUGUCGUCUGCGCCAGUGUCAGAGACAGGCAAUGUUGGGCCAAGCUGAGUAUGGAACCCAGGAAGGCUUGAUGCAGUUCGGCAGGCCCAGACCUCAGUAUACAUACAGUCGAAAGAUGACCCAAAAGAGGACUAAUAGACUGUUGACUGGCUUGGAUUUUACUGACAAUGAAGAUGAUACCAGUAGACUGCAAGCUCCAAAUUGGAAUCCUGAUCCUACCAGCAGUAGAAUCCAUCAGUCAUCCAUGCAGGUUGUAUUAAAAAUUGUAAACCAAAAGAUUUAAAAUGCGUAUCCAUCCUAAACUGAAAAAACAUUUUUUUUGAAUUUCAUCUUUGUCUUUUAAAAGUUCAAUCAUUCAGAUGCAGUACAGAGAAAUGGACUCCUUGAAAGAAGCCCUAGCAUCAACCACACCAGUUUGCGACUAGAUCAGCUAAACACAUGGGACAAAGACAGAUCAAACACAGGCAGGGGUCUUGAAAAGCUGACUGGAGAAGUGGAUGAAGAGGAGUUUCCCAUGAUUACACGGAUUUUUAGUUUGGCAGAAAAUGCAGCUGAGAGUGGUCUGGACAUGGAAAACCAGCUGCUUAAGCUAUUAGAGGAAUUGCGCUCUUCUGCAUUGCCGAUCCUCUGGUAUGCCAUAGUGACAGAGGGUCCGCAGCUGCAGCUUAUCCAGUGUGCUAAACAGUCCAGCAUGAUUGACACCAUGGUGCUGAUUGACCCGGGCUUCUGCUAUCAGGUAACAGUGCAAAAGCAGCCACUGUUACUCACCCACCCUCUUUAUGAUGAACACCCCACACAUCUUACAUCUGUGGGCGACGUGACAAGCCUGCUAUUGGACUUGGAGAGGUACAACAUGUGCCAGGGACUUCCCCCUGUGGACCUACCAAGUGACAAGGGUCCGAUCAUCUUGGAGCGAUCCUCAAUAUGUGAUUUAUUAGUUAAGAAGAACGCCAAGAUCUGUACUAAUUGCAGAGCCUUAUCUAGGUAAUUAGAACAUUAACCGCAGCUGAGACAGAAAAGAUUUAGACUAGUGAAAGCCAAAAUGUCUUCUUGUGUCAAAUACUUUCAUGUCUUUUAUUGGGAUGGCCAAACUGAAUUGACAUUGUACACUUACCUCUUGACUAUUUUGAUGUGAUUUAAUUUUAUGAAGAUACACCAAAGGCUGUCCGAGGACAGUUGCAUUGUAAUCACCUUGAGUGAGCAAGCCUGUUCUGAUUUCUUUGGUAUGCUGGUGCAGGGCUUCUCAUGGGUUUGAUUUUGCACCCACUGGUUUCAGUGUGCGGCAUGGUGGCACAGUGGUUAGUGUGGUCACCUCACAGCAAGAAGGUCCUGGGUUCGAGCCCCUGGGUAGUCCAACCUUGGGGGUCGUCCCUGGUCGUCCUCUGUGUGGAGUUUGUGUGUUCUCCCCGUGUCGGCGUGGUCAGGUGAAUUGGCCAUACUAAAUUGCCCCUAGGUGUGUGUGUGUGUAUGUGUGUGUCCCUGUGUGAUGGCCUGGCAGCCUGUCCAGGGUGUCUCCCCACCUGCCGCUCAAUGACUGCUGGGAUAGGCUCCAGCAUCCCCGUGACCCUGACAGCAGAAUAAGCGGUUCGGAUGGAUGGAUGGUUUCAGUGUGACAUUCAAGGCUGAAUUCACUUGGCCAUUUUGUCAACUGCUCCCUUCAUUUUCUUUUGGUGUAUUCAAAGACAGUGUUCAAACGAUCAGUUUCUUUUUCUUUUCACCAACACAAAACACAAAGCUAAAACUAGUCCUCUGUAAACAAAUGAUUACAUCCUUGAUUGUUGAAUGAUUGUUUCCUUAUGUUGGGGCAACUACUGCAUCAUUCAGAUGUUUCUUCUUCAUAUGCACAAUACAAGCAGGCAUUUGUUCAGCCUACAAAUAAAUUGAAUAAUUGUCUCACAUCUCUUAGCACUUGAACGGAAGGGGAAUGACAAUAGCUAUUGAAUCUCUUGUCAUUUUCAUCUUUGCUCAUCCAGGUUAGUUUCUUUGAAAAUGAAUAUAUUUUACCUGAAUACCUUUAUCCCUGACCAUCAGUGUGUUCAUCCCUAAAAUGACUAAGCCACAACAAAUAAAAUGGAGUAAAAAAUAAUUAGGUCCUUAAAGAUUUCAGUGUAAGUUUGCAUUAUCGUUUUUUUUUUUUGUUUUUUUUUUGUGUGGCAAUUUUAGCCUUUAUUCAACUGGACAGUAGAGGGAGUCAGGAAACACAGGGUGAAUAGAUAAGAAGAUAUGCAGUAAAUUUCCCAUGGCCCAAUUUGAACCCGAGAAGCUGCGAUCAUGCCCGAGCCCACAUGUGAUCACACUUGACUGGCUGAGCCACCAGGACACCCCACAUUUGCAGCUUCAUUAUUUGUUUUCAUGGGGGUUUUCCUGGCAGAUCUUUAUUUGAAUUGAAUACUUUACUGAAAAGCUCUAUGUAACUAACUUGGUUUAAGAACAGUUUAAAAAAACACUAUUUGGGAUAUACUGACAAGACUAGUGUGUGGUAGAAUAUUGUAGACAUUUCUAUGUUUCCAUUUAAGGCCAUGAGUUUUGACAUCUUUUUAAAAUUGGAGAAGAUUUGCAGCAUAUUCAAAGCUGUUUUAGAUUCCCACCUUUGCAACCUUCCUCAUGUCUUGGUUGAGACAAAAAUAAAUGAGCAUGCCUUUGCAUGCAAUAAGUUUUCUUUAUGUAGCAAAGUAAACAUCUGAAAUGUGACAUAAUCUUUGGAUGGAGGGACCAGAGAACACGCAUUUUGUUAAGUUAAUCACUGUAAACCAUUAAUAUCUCAUAAGGUAGUGUCUUCUUCAAGCCAUGUUUGUGUCUAGCGAUUUUCCUACCAUGGAUAUCAUGAAAGUCUGUAUUUAUGAUGCAGUAGCCUAUAGACAAGGGACAACUUUUCCCCUUUCCCUAGUUGCUUGAUGGAGGAAAAUUAAUUUAAUAUUUGCUGUUUUGGUUUUCUAGAUGACAUUGAGAGCAAUUUAAUUAUAUGUAUACCUGUUUCAAGUUUGUUUGAUUGUUUUUGGGGGGUUUUGCUUUCAUUGUUAAUUUUGAAAUAUUCCCCUAAUAUGCAAAAUAAAUGUUAUUGUUAAGCCCACGGUUAAAAAUGUCAUACUUGUGUGGCGAGAUCCAUUGGAAUUCAGCCUCUGUAUAACUAAGUUAAAAUUUAACUGUUGUUAAUUUCUUUGAGAUUGAGGGUUUUGUUGACGGGUUUUAUUAUUUUUUUGUUGCUAAAACGAGGGAUGUUUAUAUUUCUUUUUGAUGUCGGUCUUGAAACC